rnacentral:lncRNA from 1 species
AAAACAAGUGAGACAAAUAGAAAUCCUUUCAAACCAAAUGAACAAAUGUCACACAAUUUGUUCCACAAAAAAAAUUCUAAAAAAAAGAGAAGAAGAAAGCCUGGAUAAGUUGAAAUUUGGAAACAAGUGACUUAGGCAAAAAUUAAGGUAUCCCGAUGGACUGUAAGCAAAAAAGUCAGUCCAGGAAAAAUUAGAGAAGUUAAAA